AAUCGUCGGAGGCAUUCGUAUUCAUAUUUAAUUGUGCUGAGAUUUGAAAUUAAAUACCUCGAGAAAUCGUCUACAUUGCAUGUACGUUAAAAUGGAAAUUAAUUAGUGAUCGAUGUUUUCUCAUUGUUUCUUCCUAGAAUUCGUUGUUUAUUUUUCGUAUUCUCUGCUAUCGAGUUAAUAGAUGUUGAUAGAGCCAUCGUACGGUCAAGAAUUAUCGCGUGUUCAUGACCGUCGUGAUCGAUAAAAAAGUCGACGAUAAAAAGCAAAUCGUGAAUUCACCACGAAAGUGUUUUGCGGAAGUCCUGAAGAAAUGCGUGCAAUCAGAAGUUAAUUGGAAACCAUCACCUGUCACUUUAAUGACCUCGUGUCUUCGCCAGCCAAAGUCUGCGAACCUCAAAAGCUUAUGAAGUUACCAAAGCGAAGAGAAAAUACAAAUCGCCGUAAUUAGUCGCGGUAAUUAGCUAAGCUCAGAGGCUAUGGCGGUCAGCAAAUGAAAAUAAAUGGAUCCAAAACAAGCAGAAGUCCGGCUGGUUUUACGUCCGAAUAAGGACAACGGAAAUUCCGCACAAAGGAAUUCUACCUGGCUUGGAAUUUCGAGAGGGCGUAGUAGAACCGUACAAUAUGAAACCAGGUUCGAACAGUUUUAAUAAUACUCUACCAUCGUAUUGUUUCGAUUUACAAACGAAGAUCGUUCCGGACAACGUGCGAAUGAAUUUAAUCGGCAUAAUUAAGCUUAUAAACUUGUUUACGACACCGGGAUAAACUUUCAGAUAUUUAUCUACUGGAAAGUCUACAAUCUUUACAUACAGACGUAAACUAUAAAUAAACCUCAAGUACAUAUAAUAAAUAUAAAAUGAAAUCAAAAUGACUUGAGUUACUAGAAAUGAAAAGUAAAUAGAAUCCUCCUUUUGUCUUCAAUUUUAA